rnacentral:lncRNA from 10 species
UCAUCUGAUAAGCAGAAAUAUUUUAUUUUUCCCAUAAUUCUCAAUGUAUGAGGCUAUCUCUUACAUAAAGAAGUGAGUCCUUUCUUUGAUUAUGCAGAAGUGUGACUUCCUUUCCUCCAACUGCUAACCUCACCCUUUCAAAUGGUGUCCUCAGGUAAUUGGCAUUGAUGAGUGAUAGAUAUCUAAAUAACAACCCCCUUAGCUCCAGCCUGAAUUUAGAGUAAUCAUGUGUAAGAACAUUCAGGUCUUGGCUAAGGGCCAUUCUCAUCCUAGAGGAUGCUAAAGAUGCUUCCUUUCCUCUGGAUGAUGUAAUUUUUUGUUCUCUAAUUGCACUUUUCCCCUUUAUCCUUCACUCAAGAAGAAUAUAUGAAUUGAAAUGUGUGGGAAUGAUAUGACUUUAUAGAUAAUCCAGAAUCCACUGUAGCUUCUCAAUGUAAAUCAUUAGCUCUUAUCAGUAUUUUGUGAUUGACAGUAGAUUACUUGUAAUAUAUCUAGCAGCUGAUUGCAGGUACAUAGCAGUUCUUUGGUUGAGAACUACUGAAAUAGAAUAGAGUGAAGGGAUAUAUAGACAAGAAAGAAUGGGUCCAUAAGUUUAAAGUUAUGAACACUGAGCACUAGGUAAGAAGUAUCAUGGUUAAGAGCUUGAUAUGUGGACCCAAACAGAGUCCUUAAACCUGUCCUGUGUUUAGAAACUUUUAAGACUUUAGGCAAGUUACUUAAAACCUUUUGCGACCCUGGGUGUUCUCUUUUUAAAGGGAUAAUACAGCAUAUACCUUACAGCACUGCUGUGAGAAUUACAAGCAGUAACAUAAGUAAAAGAGAAAGUACAAGGCUAAUCCGUAAAGGGAUGGUUGUAUCCAAUGAUCCACAAUCCACACAGUCAUAAUCCUUCUGGGGGUCAUGUUGAAUGCCCCAAGGACAGAGGUGGGGACAGUUCUUGAUGGGCUCCAUUCUCCCCAUAGGCGUACCCUCCCAGAUUAUACAUGCAUAAGGGCCAGAUGGGUUCCUGAAGAUUUUCCACGUUAGACAAGCCCCUGCCAUCCUUGGUAGACAUCACCAAUGAAUCCAAAUACAAUCGUGCAUGGCAUCAUGACAUUCCAGUCAACAAUGGCCUGGGGAGCUCCUUAAACAUUCAAAUGCCUAAUCCAGCUUUCCAGAGGUCCUCUUAGGGGUUGGAGUGGGGCACAGGAAUCUGAGUGCUUAAAAGUCUUCCUGUGAGGAGGAUCCUGGGGAGGAAAAGCCUUUCCUCCGCCCUCUUAGGUUCAGUACUUAGGAGUCUGUGAAUUAAA